AGUAAUACAUCGGAACGUGUCCCGUACGUGGGGGAGUAGCCCGGCCGAAAGACCGGACGUUAAUACCGCAUAUGCUCUACGGAGGAAAGUGGGGGACUCGCAAGGGCCUCACGCUAUGGGAGCGGCCGAUGUCCGAUUAGCUUGUUGGCGGGGGUAAUGGCCCACCAAGGCGACGAUCGGUAGCUGGUCUGAGAGGAUGAUCAGCCACACUGGGACUGAAACACGGGCCAG
rnacentral:rRNA from 1 species